CAUCCACUGGCUCCAUGCAGGGAUUUCUGUUGAGAAUUGAGUAUUAUCACUUUCCUUAUGGCUUUGAUCCCACCAUAAAAAAGGAAGCUAUUUACAAGUAAGAUAUCCCUUCUGCAGAAUUAAAUUAAGUGAGGACCCGAGCCUUGAAAUAGCUACUUUCCAUCUCUCUCACAGAGAGGUAGAAAUUGUGGCAUUUAGAGAGAAGGAAGUACUGCUUGGUAAAAUAAAAGAAACCUGCCUUAGAGAAGUAAGUACCACUUGGUAAAAGAAAAGAAGCCCCCCCAAACAAAAGAAAGGUCCAUGAGAUGCAACAAAAGCUUCUUCAUCUUUGGAUGAAAUUCAACUUCACCUAAUGUUCUCUUACAAUUUUGCUGGAUCUCUUCAACAAAUCGACAUUAUUGAGUGAGAUUACUUUAUUUGUGGUGCCAAAAUUAGUAUUCUCAUGUUGUAUGUGUUGUCCAAGUUGAACAGAUGUUAGUAAUAGAAAUUGGUUGUCAUAAGAACACAAUAAUAUCUCAGUGUUCUAGCACAAUUGAUCAGUUAUUGAUUUAUGCUUAUGUAUUGCACAAGAAGUGGAAACUAUUUCUUUUAAUAGUGAUUAGUCAACUCUUCAUUUUGCAGUUUUCA